rnacentral:rRNA from 1 species
GUGCGAAAACUCCACAAUGCACGAAAGUGUGAUGGGGCCAUCCCGAGUGCCGUCCGCUGAGGACUGCUUUUCCAUGCUGUAAGAAGGCGUGGGAAUAAGGAGAGGGCAAGCCUGGUGUCAGCCGCCGCGGUAAUACCAGCUCUCCGAGUGGUGGGGAUGUUUAUUGGGCUUAAAGCGUCCGUAGCCUGCUUUUCAAGUCUUUCGUUAAAUCUAAUGAUUCAAUCGUUAGGCUGCGGGAGAUACUGCUGAGCUAGGAGGCGGGAGAAGUCGACGGUAUUUCCGGGGUAGGAGUGAAAUCCUAUAAUCCCGGGAGGACCACCAGUGGCGAAGGCGGUCGACUAGAACGCGCUCGACGGUGAGGGACGAAAGCUGGGGGAGCGAACCGGAUUAGAUACCCGGGUAGUCCCAGCUGUAAACGAUGCGGGCUAGGUGUUAAGGUGGCUACGAGCCACUUUAGUGCCGCAGGGAAACUGUUAAGCCCGCCGCCUGGGGAGUACGGCCGCAAGGCUGAAACUUAAAGGAAUUGGCGGGGGAGCAACCG